UACGUAGGGUGCGAGCGUUGUCCGGAAUUAUUGGGCGUAAAGAGCUCGUAGGCGGUGUGUCGCGUCGGCCGUGAAAACCCGGGGCUCAACUCCGGGCCUGCAGCCGAUACGGGCAGACUAGAGUUCGGCAGGGGAGACUGGAAUUCCUGGUGUAGCGGUGGAAUGCGCAGAUAUCAGGAGGAACACCGGUGGCGAAGGCGGGUCUCUGGGCAGUAACUGACGCUGAGGAGCGAAAGCGUGGGGAGCAAACAGG
rnacentral:rRNA from 1 species